CGGUGUUUAACUGGCGUGAUGUGGGACGUCCUACCGGUGGGCUUAGCCUCGCGAGGGGCGGCCCAACUAAUAUCCCGUCGCGGUGCUCUUUACUGAGUGUCGAGUCGGGCCGGUACGUUUACUUUGAACAAAUUAGAGUGCUUAAAGCAGGCUAUCCUCGCCUGAAUACUGCGUGCAUGGAAUAAUGGAAUAGGACCUCGGUUCUAUUUUGUUGGUUUUCGGAACCCCGAGGUAAUGAUUAAUAGGGACAGAUGGGGGCAUUCGUAUUGCGACGUUAGAGGUGAAAUUCUUGGAUCGUCGCAAGACGGACAGAAGCGAAAGCAUUUGCCAAAAAUGUUUUCAUUAAUCAAGAACGAAAGUUAGAGGUUCGAAGGCGAUCAGAUACCGCCCUAGUUCUAACCAUAAACGAUGCCAGCUAGCGAUCCGCCGAAGUUCCUCCGAUGACUCGGCGGGCAGCUUCCGGGAAACCAAAGCUUUUGGGUUCCGGGGGAAGUAUGGUUGCAAAGCUGAAACUUAAAGGAAUUGACGGAAGGGCACCACCAGGAGUGGAGCCUGCGGCUUAACUUGACUCAACACGGGAAACCUCACCAGGCCCAGACACCGGAAGGAUUGACAGAUUGAUAGCUCUUUCUUGAUUCGGUGGGUGGUGGUGCAUGGCCGUUCUUAGUUGGUGGAGCGAUUUGUCUGGUUAAUUCCGAUAACGAACGAGACUCUAGCCUGCUAAAUAGGCGUACCUUAUGGUAUCGCGAAGGCCCCCGGCUUCGGCCGGUGGGUUUUUACUACCAACGUACAAACAAAUCUUCUUAGAGGGACAGGCGG
rnacentral:rRNA from 1 species